rnacentral:rRNA from 1 species
AGCAGUAGCCGCGGUAAUACAGAGGGUGCGAGCGUUAAUCGGAUUUACUGGGCGUAAAGCGUGCGUAGGCGGCUAAUUGAGUCGGAUGUGAAAUCCCCGAGCUUAACUUGGGAAUUGCAUUCGAUACUGGUUAGCUAGAGUGUGGGAGAGGAUGGUAGAAUUCCAGGUGUAGCGGUGAAAUGCGUAGAGAUCUGGAGGAAUACCGAUGGCGAAGGCAGCCAUCUGGCCUAACACUGACGCUGAGGUACGAAAGCAUGGGGAGCAAACAGGAUUAGAUACCCCCGUAGUCCCUGUCUCUUAUAA